rnacentral:lncRNA from 1 species
UCCCUUGCCUCAUCUUAUAUGACUAAGACAACGCAUAGAAAUCAUUAUUAUAAUAAAUAGACAUAGGCAUUAGACAUGAACAUGAAUCCAGCAAAUUCAAGUCACAAACAGGACAAAAUACAAGGCAUGUUUAAAGGUUCGUAAGAUCACCUAGACAAUAUACAAAAAUGUGAAACUUGCACAUGACAUAAGGUUGAAUGCGAAAAAGGUUUGGGUAAAUAUUUAACCCUAAAUUAGAAUGCAAAGAAGUCACACAAGUCAUUAACAUUGCAAAGUGACUUGGAACUAUGAAUGUCAUGCUUGACAAAUUUCAAUUGCAAUUAGCCACAGAAAAGACAGCAUUUUUUCAGAUUCAGCAUGCAUAUUUUAAAAAAAAAAAAUUCAAGAGCAAAGAUGUAUCAAUUGGCUAAAACAAUCUACACAAGAAUAGAGUAGCAAUUAUAGCAUACUGAUAUUCACAAAUGGAGUGUAUCAUGAAAAGACAUACAACUUCAAGAAAGCCAAAAGGAGCUUGGAAUUCAGAAAUAAGAAAAGACAGCAAGCGAAGAAAAACUGACACUAAAGAACAACAUAACUCUGGACAUCUUUACAAACAAAAACACAGAGCUUGGAUCGGUAGAAUACAAAUAAGCUACUGGGUAAAGUGAUUAGUGUUAGAAAUUGGAUUGAUGGUGGAUAUCUAAUAUCAAUUAUCAAACACCAGAACUUUGCUAUAAAAAAAAAAGAGAACAAUAGAGCAAGAACAUUCCACACGUGAUAUACUUUUUUUGUAUCAUCAAUCUCAAAAUCUAUGCUUAAAAGAUCAUAGGAAAGUGGCAGACAAUCAAGCCCACGCAAAAACAGAAUAUGCAUUUCUAACCAAGGCAAAAUUCCAGAUUUCAGAAUGGAUUAGAAAAAAAAUGUUAAACAUGGCAAAUGAUGGUUGAUUCAGGCAUGCAAUAUGUCAUUUUAAAGCUUGAGAUGCCUAUUACAAUUAUCUAGAAGACAUUAAGUCCUAAUAACAUC